UACGGGGGGGGGCAAGCGUUGUUCGGAAUUACUGGGCGUAAAGGGCUCGUAGGCGGCCAACUAAGUCAGACGUGAAAUCCCUCGGCUUAACCGGGGAACUGCGUCUGAUACUGGAUGGCUUGAGUUCGGGAGAGGGAUGCGGAAUUCCAGGUGUAGCGGUGAAAUGCGUAGAUAUCUGGAGGAACACCGAUGGCGAAGGCAGCCAUCUGGACCGACACUGACGCUGAGGCGCGAAAGCGUGGGGAGCAAACAGG
rnacentral:rRNA from 1 species